AAGUGCUCUCUGUGCCACUAAACCUUACAUAGUAAUAGGGCAUUACCAGUCUUCACCCUAAUUCUGAACCUGUAGUUUAACCUUUUUUCUAGCUUUGAUUUAUCCAUUGCUUUAUUUCUUGUAUUUGGUUUCUAGCACAUGUGAUUUCCACUUCAUAUUUUUGCACUGCUUAUAUUUACGUACGUGCAAUCUUAUUCCUUGUCUACAUACAGAUGUGGAAAGCUAGAAAUAAAUGUAAAAGCUUAAUUUUUUAUAAACAUUUAAAUAUGUAAUUUGGACAUGAUUUGUUACUUAAGGUUCUUCUCUAAGCUGGAAGUGAGGUGCAUGCCUUCUGAAGAUGGUCUGACUUUACUCUGUAAUAAGUAUUUACAGUGGAACACCAAUUCAGCUAUAUAGUCUUCCCAAUGAAUUUCUCCUUACACCCAUUUUACCUUUUGCUUAAAUUGUGGGUUCUUCAGGGUAAAUGUCAUGCUAAUUAAAACUUUGGGGUUCAGAUCAAGUGUUCCCACAAGGGUAAGAACAGUAUUCUUUGACUCUUAAAAAGAAAUCCUUUCUGAAACUUGUAUUCAAAACAGUUUUAUUAGGCCUGUGUCUUGAAAGCCGGAUAUGACAAACAUUUUUAUAAAGCAGUGGAUCUCUAGUUGGCUUUCAAAUUGCUCCCAACCACCACCUUUGGUAUUCACAGAGAUGACUUCCUUAAACCAUUGGUUGUCAGAAUUAAUGGGUAUGUCCAGUUCUCUAUCUUUGACUUGAUGCUUUAUAAUACACCAUUUCAUAUGUCGCUUCUAAGGGAAUAAGCCAUAGAGGCUUCUCCAGGUUUAAGAGAACAGAGUACCUGGAAAACCAACAUUCUGAAUGUAUGGACACUGGACAUGGGGUUACCCAUGAGGCUUUCAAAAGAAUCCAAGAAUUUGCUCUCUACCCUACCCAGUAGUGUGAUGGCAUCACUAGUGCCAGGUAUAGGACUAAAGUGAGUAUUAGGUUGAAUAUUGAUGUAGACUCUUUGUGUGUCCUAUACCUCUUAAUGCAUAAAUUCUUAAAUUUGUCUUUAGAGUCCAGUUGGCCUGUUAAUGGUGAAUUUCCUUUGACUUUUUCUUGGGCAGGUUUGCAAUGUGAUAAUCAGAUUUUUUUUUUUAAAUGACUAGUUUGUUUCCUUGUGUGGGUGUACUCACAUUUAAAAGUAUGAACCACGGUUAACUAGUGGUCUCAGGGGUAGUGAAACACUCACUUUUUAUUUACUGGGUUAGUUGAAGUAUACUUUAAACGCUGAUUAUGAUGUUUUCGUGAUUUGGGGGUGGGUAAUACUAAAAUUAGUCAUGUUUUAUGUUCACAUAACUGUUCAAUGACUGUUGGUUACACUUUUCAGUGAAUUUGUCUUCUAUUUUAUGAGGAACCCAGUGCAAGUCACUAAAUGUUGUCUAGUAGUGACAUCUGCAUAAGACUUGUAAUAGCUAAAGUUAAUUAAGCUUAAAGGAAUUGUUACCAUUAAAGUCUGUGUUUAAACACACUUUGGUCUUACUCAGUAAUUCCAGCUACCAUAAAGUCUGCACUUGAAUUUAAUACUGUAUGACCUCAAGUUUUGAAUAUAACGUUGAAGCUGGUGUCAUAAAGAAAACGGGUAUAGGGAGGAGUAGUUCGGUGGCUUUCAAAACUAUUCAGAACCAUGGUCAUUUUGAUAUUUUAGAAUACAAUCCAGUGGGUCUGGCCUGAUGUGGAGCCUAGCAGCUUGUAAAGACCAACAAAUGGUGCAAACGUCUGUAACUGACAGUAGAUACUUGUAGCUAUUACAGAGGUCUACUCAUUAGACCAAUUGCCUCGCUUCUCACAGUGUAAGUUGAGGUUUGGAGUUAGUGUUUGUGUUAAUUGUACUGUAAUGCAGAUAAUAAAGUAGUUUGCCCAGUG
rnacentral:lncRNA from 1 species